CCUACGGGUGGCAGCAGUGGGGAAUAUUGGGCAAUGGGCGCAAGCCUGACCCAGCAACGCCGCGUGAAGGAAGAAGGCUUUCGGGUUGUAAACUUCUUUUCUCAGGGACGAGUCGAGUACGGUUCCCGUCGGAAUAGCCAACGCCUACCACGUUGCCGCCGCCGCGGUAAUACGUAGGUGGGCAGCGUUUUUCGGAUUUACUGGGGGUAAAGGGCGUGUAGGCGGGAUGGCAAGUCAGAUGUGAAAUCCUGCGGCUUAACCGGAGAACUGCAUUUGAAAAUGUUGGUCUUGAGUACUGGAGAGGCAGACGGAAUUCCUAGUGUAGCGGUGAAAUGCGUAGAUAUUAGGAGGAACACCAGUGGCGAAGGCGGUCUGCUGGACAGCAACUGACGGUGAGGCGCGAAAGCGUGGGGAGCAAACAGGAUUAGAUACCCGUGUAGUC
rnacentral:rRNA from 1 species